UUAAGGUUUAAGAUGAAGAGAUCAAGGUGUAGGAUGAAGAGAUUGAACUUUAGGUUAAAGAGAUCAAGGUGUAGGAUGAAGUGAUUAAGGUUUAAGAUGAAGAGAUCAAGGUGCAGAAUGAAGAGAUCAAGGUGUAGGAUGAAGAGAUUGAACUUUAGGUUAAAGAGAUCAAGGUGUAGGAUGAAGUGAUUAAGGUUUAAGAUGAAGAGAUCAAGGUGUAGGAUGAAGAGAUCAAGGUGUAGGAUGAAGUGAUUAAGGUUUAAGAUGAAGAGAUCAAGGUGUAGGAUGAAGAGAUCAAGGUGUAGGGUGAAGUGAUUAAGGUUUAAGAUGAAGAGAUCAAGGUGUAGGAUGAAGA
rnacentral:lncRNA from 1 species